rnacentral:rRNA from 1 species
UGGGGAAUAUUGCACAAUGGGCGCAAGCCUGAUGCAGCCAUGCCGCGUGUAUGAAGAAGGCCUUCGGGUUGUAAAGUACUUUCAGUCGGGAGGAAGGUGGUAAGGUUAAUAACCUUAUCAAUUAACGUUACCGACAGAAGAAGCACCGGCUAACUCCGUGCCAGCAGCCGCGGUAAUACGGAGGGUGCAAGCGUUAAUCGGACUUACUGGGCGUAAAGCGCACGCAGGCGGUCUGUCAAGUCGGAUGUGAAAUCCCCGGGCUUAAUCUGGGAACUGCAUUCGAAACUGGCAGGCUAGAGUCUUGUAGAGGGGGGUAGAAUUCCAGGUGUAGCGUUGAAAUGCGUAGAGAUCUGGAGGAAUACCGGUGGCGAAGGCGGCCCCCUGGACAAAGACUGACGCUCAGGUGCGAAAGCGUGGGGAGCAAACAGG